rnacentral:rRNA from 1 species
UACGAAGGGGGGCUAGCGUUGCUCGGAAUUACUGGGCGUAAAGUGUGCGCAGGCGGCGCCGCAAGUCGAGUGUGAAAGCCCCGGGCUUAACUUGGGAAUGCGCUCGAAACUAUGGUGCUGGAGUGUGGCAGAGGAAGGUGGAAUUCCACGUGUAGCGGUGAAAUGCGUAGAGAUGUGGAGGAACACCGAUGGCGAAGGCAGCCUUCUGGGCCAA